UUUCUCUUUAGUGAUUCUCGGCAUGUACAAGAAGCUUCGACUGUUGCAUCCACCAGUAAAGCARUUAAGACUAGCGCCGAGCAAGAAUUUAAUAGUAGCGAAAGUGAGUUUGAUAUCGAUAGUGACAGCGAUUGGAAAGUCACCGAGAACGAUAUAUUUAAAAAAGAUACGCAAUAUACAAACAUCCAAGCAUCUCAAUCCAGAGAGGAAAUUUUGAGUGCUGUCAAGAAUGGUGAUGAUGCAAAAGACCAAGCUGAUGCAAAAUCGAAGAGGAAGAAAAGCCAAAGGGGAAAACAGACAGCUAAAUCGAAAAUGUCGAGUAUUUUAGAGUCCCUUCCUGCCCUCAUACAGAAUGCAAACUCGGCAGCCAAAGACCAUAGCAAGGCCGUGAAGACAUGGAUGCAAAUAGAUAGUUCAGACUCAGAUUAACCAUUCAUUUYUUUCAUGUGUUCUUAACUAACCUAUUUAAAAGUCUUGAAAAGAAAGAUGAAUUAAAAAUUGAUUUAGAAUUAGAA